UGGAAAUUGUUGCUAGUAAUUCA
rnacentral:miRNA from 1 species